rnacentral:rRNA from 1 species
GAUGAACGCUGGCGGCGUGCCUAAUACAUGCAAGUCGAGCGGACGGACGAGAAGCUUGCUUCUCUGAUGUUAGCGGCGGACGUGUGAGUAACACGUGGAUAACCUACCUAUAAGACUGGGAUAACUUCGGGAAACCGGUGCUAAUACCGGAUGAUAUUUUGAUCCGCAUGGUUCAAAAGUGAAUGACGGUCUUGCUGUCACUUAUAGAUGGAUCCGCUCUGCAUUGGAUUGUUGUUACGGUAACGGCUUACCAAGGCAACGAUGCAUAGCCGACCUGAGAGAGGGAUAGGCCACACUGGAGCUGAAACGGGGUCAAGAGUACUGCGGGAGGCAGCAGAAGGGAACCUUCCGCAAUGGGCGAAAACCUGACGGAGCAACGGCGCGUGUGUGAUGACGGCCUUGGGAUCGUAAAACUCGGUUAUUAGGGAAGAACAUAUGUGUAAGUAACUGUGGAGAUCUUGACGGUACCUACUCAGAAAGCCACGGCUAACUACGUG